GACGAACGCUGGCGGCGUGCUUAACACAUGCAAGUCGAACGAUGAACCACUUCGGUGGGGAUUAGUGGCGAACGGGUGAGUAACACGUGGGCAAUCUGCCCUUCACUCUGGGACAAGCCCUGGAAACGGGGUCUAAUACCGGAUACCACUCUCGCGGGCAUCUGCGAGGGUUGAAAGCUCCGGCGGUGAAGGAUGAGCCCGCGGCCUAUCAGCUUGUUGGUGAGGUAAUGGCUCACCAAGGCGACGACGGGUAGCCGGCCUGAGAGGGCGACCGGCCACACUGGGACUGAGACACGGCCCAGACUCCUACGGGAGGCAGCAGUGGGGAAUAUUGCACAAUGGGCGAAAGCCUGAUGCAGCGACGCCGCGUGAGGGAUGACGGCCU
rnacentral:rRNA from 1 species